rnacentral:rRNA from 1 species
AGUGAACGCUGGCGGUAUGCCUAACACAUGCAAGUCGAACGGCAGCACAGUAAGAUCUUGCCCUUACGGGUGGCGAGUGGCGGACGGGUGACGAAUACAUCGGAAUCUACUUUUUCGUGGGGGAUAACGUAGGGAAACUUACGCUAAUACCGCAUACGACCUACGGGUUAAAGCAGGGGAUCUUCGGACCUUGCGCGAUUGAAUGAGCCGAUGUCGGAUUAGCUAGUUGGCGGGGUAAAGGCCCACCAAGGCGACGAUCCGUAGCUGGUCUGAGAGGAUGAUCAGCCACACUGGAACUGAGACACGGUCCAGACUCCUACGGGAGGCAGCAGUGGGGAAUAUUGGACAAUGGGCGCAAGCCUGAUCCAGCCAUACCGCGUGGGUGAAGAAGGCCUUCGGGUUGUAAAGCCCUUUUGUUGGGAAAGAAAUCCAGCCGGCUAAUACCUGGUUGGGAUGACGGUACCCAAAGAAUAAGCACCGGCUAACUUCGUG